rnacentral:rRNA from 1 species
UAGGGAUCCGAGCGUUAUCCGAUUCACUGGGCGUAAAAGCGCGUGCAGGCGGUCUGGUAAGUUGGAUGCGAAAUCUCCUGGCUCAAACUGGGAGGGGACCGUUCAAUACUGUCAGACUAGAGGGCGACAGAGGAAGGUGGAAUUCCCGGUGUAGUGGUGAAAUGCGUAGAUAUCGGGAGGAACACCAGUGGCGAAGGCGGCCUUCUGGGUCGCACCUGACGCUCAGACGCGAAAGCUAGGGGAAGCGAACGGGAUUAGAAACCCCGGUAGUCCUAGCCGUAAACGAUGUAGACUUGGUGUCGGUGGGAUAAAAUCCGCCGGUGCCGAAGCCAACGCGAUAAGUCUACCGCC